UACGUAGGUGGCAAGCGUUGUCCGGAAUUAUUGGGCGUAAAGCGCGCGCAGGCGGUCCUUUAAGUCUGAUGUGAAAGCCCACGGCUCAACCGUGGAGGGUCAUUGGAAACUGGGGGACUUGAGUGCAGAAGAGAAGAGUGGAAUUCCUGGUGUAGCGGUGAAAUGCGCAGAUAUCAGGAAGAACACCCGUGGCGAAGGCGGCUCUCUGGGACGGUACUGACGCUGAGACGCGAAAGCGUGGGGAGCGAACAGG
rnacentral:rRNA from 1 species